UACGUAGGGUGCAAGCGUUGUCCGGAAUUAUUGGGCGUAAAGAGCUCGUAGGCGGUUUGUCACGUCGGCCGUGAAAACUCGGGGCUCAACCCCGAGCCUGCGGUCGAUACGGGCAGACUAGAGUGCUGUAGGGGAGACGUGGAAUUCCUGGUGUAGCGGUGAAAUGCGCAGAUAUCAGGAGGAACACCAAUGGCGAAGGCAGCACUCUGGGACGUGACUGACGCUGAGACGCGAAAGCGUGGGGAGCAAACAGG
rnacentral:rRNA from 1 species